rnacentral:rRNA from 1 species
AACGAACGCUGGCGGCAUGCCUAACACAUGCAAGUCGAACGGGAUCCAGGCUUCGGCCUGGUGAGAGUGGCGGACGGGUGAGUAACGCGUGGGAACCUGCCCAAUGGUCUGGGAUAACCGCGGGAAACUGCGGCUAAUACCGGAUAAGCCCGAGAGGGGAAAGAUUUAUCGCCGAUGGAGGGGCCCGCGUCAGAUUAGGUAGUUGGUGGGGUAAUGGCCUACCAAGCCUACGAUCUGUAGCUGGCUGAGAGGAUGAUCAGCCACACUGGGACUGAGAUACGGCCCAGACUCCUACGGGAGGCAGCAGUGGGGAAUAUUGGACAAUGGGGCAACCCUGAUCCAGCAAUGCCGCGUGAGUGAUGAAGGCCUUAGGGUUGUAAAGCUC